GAUGAACGCUGGCGGCGUGCUUAACACAUGCAAGUCGAACGAACCUUCGGGUUAGUGGCGGACGGGUGAGUAACGCGUGAGAAUCUGCCCUCAGGAGGGGGACAACAGCUGGAAACGGCUGCUAAUACCCCAUAUGCCGAGAGGUGAAAUGAAUUUCGCCUGAGGAUGAGCUCGCGUCUGAUUAGCUAGUUGGUGAGGUAAGAGCUCACCAAGGCAUCGAUCAGUAGCUGGUCUGAGAGGAUGAUCAGCCACACUGGGACUGAGACACGGCCCAGACUCCUACGGGAGGCAGCAGUGGGGAAUUUUCCGCAAUGGGCGAAAGCCUGACGGAGCAACGCCGCGUGAGGGAUGAAGGCCUCUGGGCUGUAAACCUCUUUUAUCAAGGAAGAAGAUCUGACGGUACUUGAUGAAUAAGCCACGGCUAAUUCCGUG
rnacentral:rRNA from 1 species